rnacentral:rRNA from 1 species
GGCGGACGGGUGAGUAAUGUCUGGGAAACUGCCUGAUGGAGGGGGAUAACUACUGGAAACGGUAGCUAAUACCGCAUAAUGUCGCAAGACCAAAGAGGGGGACCUUCGGGCCUCUUGCCAUCGGAUGUGCCCAGAUGGGAUUAGCUAGUAGGUGGGGUAACGGCUCACCUAGGCGACGAUCCCUAGCUGGUCUGAGAGGAUGACCAGCCACACUGGAACUGAGACACGGUCCAGACUCCUACGGGAGGCAGCAGUGGGGAAUAUUGCACAAUGGGCGCAAGCCUGAUGCAGCCAUGCCGCGUGUAUGAAGAAGGCCUUCGGGUUGUAAAGUACUUUCAGCGGGGAGGAAGGGAGUAAAGUUAAUACCUUUGCUCAUUGACGUUACCCGCAGAAGAAGCACCGGCUAACUCCGUGCCAGCAGCCGCGGUAAUACGGAGGGUGCAAGCGUUAAUCGGAAUUACUGGGCGUAAAGCGCACGCAGGCGGUUUGUUAAGUCAGAUGUGAAAUCCCCGGGCUCAACCUGGGAACUGCAUCUGAUACUGGCAAGCUUGAGUCUCGUAGAGGGGGGUAGAAUUCCAGGUGUAGC